GCUUAACACAUGCAAGUCGAACGGAAAGGCCCUGCUUUUGUGGGGUGCUCGAGUGGCGAACGGGUGAGUAACACGUGAGUAACCUGCCCUUGACUUUGGGAUAACUUCAGGAAACUGGGGCUAAUACCGGAUAGGAGCUCCUGCUGCAUGGUGGGGGUUGGAAAGUUUCGGCGGUUGGGGAUGGACUCGCGGCUUAUCAGCUUGUUGGUGGGGUAGUGGCUUACCAAGGCUUUGACGGGUAGCCGGCCUGAGAGGGUGACCGGCCACAUUGGGACUGAGAUACGGCCCAGACUCCUACGGGAGGCAGCAGUGGGGAAUAUUGCACAAUGGGCGGAAGCCUGAUGCAGCAACGCCGCGUGCGGGAUGACGGCCUUCGGGUUGUAAACCGCUUUCGCCUGUGACGAAGCGUGAGUGACGGUAAUGGGUAAAGAAGCACCGGCUAACUACGUGCCAGCAGCCGCGGUGAUACGUAGGGUGCGAGCGUUGUCCGGAUUUAUUGGGCGUAAAGGGCUCGUAGGUGGUUGAUCGCGUCGGAAGUGUAAUCUUGGGGCUUAACCCUGAGCGUGCUUUCGAUACGGGUUGACUUGAGGAAGGUAGGGGAGAAUGGAAUUCCUGGUGGAGCGGUGGAAUGCGCAGAUAUCAGGAGGAACACCAGUGGCGAAGGCGGUUCUCUGGGCCUUUCCUGACGCUGAGGAGCGAAAGCGUGGGGAGCGAACAGGCUUAGAUACCCUGGUAGUCCACGCUGUAAACGGUGGGUACUAGGUGUGGGGUCCAUUCCACGGGUUCCGUGCCGUAGCUAACGCUUUAAGUACCCCGCCUGGGAGUACGGCCGCAAGGCUAAAACUCAAAGGAAUUGGCAGGGCCCCGCACAAGCGGCGGAGCAUGCGGAUUAAUUCGAUGCAACGCGUAGAACCUUACCUGGGUUUGACAUGGAUCGGGAGUGCUCAGAGAUGGGUGUGCCUCUUUUGGGGUCGGUUCACAGGUGGUGCAUGGCUGUCGUCAGCUCGUGUCGUGAGAUGUUGGGUUAAGUCCCGCAACGAGCGCAACCCUUGUUCACUGUUGCCAGCACGUUAUGGUGGGGACUCAGUGGAGACCGCCGGGGUCAACUCGGAGGAAGGUGGGGAUGACGUCAAGUCAUCAUGCCCCUUAUGUCCAGGGCUUCACGCAUGCUACAAUGGCUGGUACAGAGAGUGGCGAGCCUGUGAGGGUGAGCGAAUCUCGGAAAGCCGGUCUCAGUUCGGAUUGGGGUCUGCAACUCGACCUCAUGAAGUCGGAGUCGCUAGUAGUCGCAGAUCAGCAACGCUGCGGUGAAUACGUUCCCGGGGCU
rnacentral:rRNA from 1 species